AACGCCCACUUUCAGACACGCUCAAUGUAUGCAGUUACCCGUGACUCCUAGCAGGCAAACUUGGUGCAUAGGCCACAGCACCACCCGAAUGAUACUGCCAAGCAAACCGUGACUACAUGGUAUUUGGUGAGACGAUCCUAUCAGAUCUUGUCCACCACACCACCAGCGGGAGAGCCUUACCUGGGACAACACAUCAGAAUCCUAGAAUCUCCCCCUUCACUUUUGUAGCAAAGUGGUCCUCCUUUUGACCGAAUCAUCAAAAGAUUCCUUUCGAGUGCUACAGGAGGAUACUCCAGAGACAAUGGCUGAUAUUGAGAGGGACAAUCAACACACAGAUAUACUGCAGGUGCAAAUCAAACAGGAGGACGGAGAAGAGCCUCACGUUACAGAGGACCGUCUCAAGAGUUCUAAUACCGGAGAACAGAAGCCUUGUCACAUCUGCCCUGAUUGUGGUAAAAGUUAUACCCGUUCGGAUAAUCUUAAAACACACCAGAAAAUUCAUAUGACAGAGAGGCCGUACCUCUGCUCUGAGUGUGGUAAAGGUUUUACCCGCACAGAUCAUCUGAAAUCACACCUGAAAACACAUGAAAGAAAGAAGAAGAAACUUAAACACCCCUGUACUGAUUGUGUGAAAGGCUUUGUCCAUUUGGAGCAGCUUGAAAAACAUCUGGAAAAAAAUCACCUUACACACAAGGAAAAGAAACCUCACGGCUGUCCAAGGUGUGAUGAGAGCUUUUCUGACCUGGAAGAACUAACAACACACUUGCCAGUACAUACUGAAGAGCUGGCCCUCUACUGCUCUGACUGCGGCUCAACUCUCAACGAUGAUACAGUUGUCUCGUCUCCAUACCACUACUAGGGCCACGUCUCCUGCCAGGCCAAACUCCCUGCAAUGCAUCUCAUCCAUGAAUGAUCCUGGCUGCCCGAUACCAGCCAAUACUGAGCGACGAUCCUCCAUGAUUCCAUCCGCCAUUCCAGAUUAAAAUGCAAACGCGGUUCCGCAGGCGGAACGUCAUGUCUCCGGUACGCUGGCGGUGUGUGUGAUGGCCAGAGCGACACUGAUUGUGUGGGUCUCAUCUGCCAUGAUGACCUGCACAGAGGAGGGAGUGUUUCUCUCUCACACACUCUCUCUCUCCCUGAAGUGUAUAUAGGAGUGGCUGUGGAGGAAGCAGGCGUGUUGUGUGCAGGUGGUGCUCUUGCCAGAACCACUCUACUGGAGCUCCACUUGGGUCAAAGUACCCUGAGAACCACGUAGAACAGCCUAGAACUGGACAGAAACACCUAGAACUGGACCCAACCUCUCACAACUGCGUAUAGUUGGAUAGAACUGCCUAGACAGAACUACACCGAACCUGGAAGAACUGCAGAAAAACACUCAGAACUGCCUAGCGUUGUAAUGAACCUUGCAGAACUGCUUAGAUACGGACAUCACUUAUUUUUAUUUAUUUUAUUUUAUUUUACCUUUAUUUAACUAGGCAAGUCCGUUAAGAACAAAUUCUUAUUUUCAAUGACGGCCUAGGAACAGUGGGUUAACUGCCUGUUCUGAAUCUAGAGUGCUGUGCUGAGAGAGACCUCUGUAAUUCCCCCAAAUCCCAAUAAUCCAGUAUCUUUUAAAAUAGUUUGUGUGGUAGUGUAUGAGUGAAAUGUAUGGAUGUUUUUCCAAAGGUUUUACUUAUAAGAAUCGAUUCAACGUGUUUAUUUCAAGAUGUUGUUUGUUUAGUCAAAUAAGGGCAUUUACAUUUUUACAUUGUAUCCCAUCUACAUCUUUGUUUUCCCCUAGUCAUUGAAUAAAAUACUUGGUUGUUCUAAUUGUAAAAUGUA